GCAAGUCGAGCGGGCCCUUCGGGGUCAGCGGCAGACGGGUGAGUAACGCGUGGGAACGUACCAUUUGCUACGGAAUAACUCAGGGAAACUUGUGCUAAUACCGUAUGAGCCCCCCUUUAAAAUUUCAGGAAUCAUAAAAUGCCCUGGCAUUUUAUGGGGGGGAAAGAUUUAUCGGCAAAUGAUCGGCCCGCGUUGGAUUAUCUAGUUGGUGGGGUAAAGGCCUACCAAGGCGACRAUCCAUAGCUGGUCUGAGAGGAUGAUCAGCCACACUGGGACUGAGACACGGCCCASACUCCUACGGGAGGCAGCAGUGGGGAAUAUUGGACAAUGGGCGCAAGCCUGAUCCAGCCAUGCCGCGUGAGUGAUGAAGGCCCUAGGGUUGUAAAGCUCUUUCACCGGUGAAGAUAAUGACGGUAACCGGAGAAGAAGCCCCGGCUAACUUCRUGCCAGCAGCCGCGGUAAUACGAAGGGGGCUAGCGUUGUUCGGAUUUACUGGGCGUAAAGCGCACGUAGGCGGGCUAAUAAGUCAGGGGUGAAAUCCCGGGGCUCAACCCCGGAACUGCCUUUGAUACUGUUAGUCUUGAGUAUGGUAGAGGUGAGUGGAAUUCCGAGUGUASAGGUGAAAUUCGUAKAUMUUCGGAKGAACACCAGUGGCGAAGGCRGCUCACUGGACCAUUACUGACGCUGAKGUGCGAAAGCGUGGGGAGCAAACAGGAUUAGAUACCCUGGUAGUCCACKCCGUAAACKAUGAAUGUUAGCCGUUGGGGAGUUUACUCUUCGGUGGCGCAACUAACGCAUUAAACAUUCCGCCU
rnacentral:rRNA from 1 species